AAACUUUGAAAAGAUAUAGGCUUCAUGGAGUUGGGUAAACAGGGCUUCAGGUUUGAAUAAAGGAAACUUGUCAUCUUGGAGGAAAUGGUUAAGAGGCUUAUAGUCAAUUACGAGCCUCUUUUUGCCGCUCAGCUUUUCAAAUCUUUUUUCCACGUAAAAGGCUUGGCAAGCCAUGGAGAGGAUGUGGGCUUUAUGAGGCCUUGUUGAAGUAACUG
rnacentral:misc_RNA from 1 species